ensembl:snoRNA
AAGCCAGUCAAUGAAUCUGCUUACCUGAUUGUGUUUCUGGAGAAAUUUUUUAUAACUGGCAAUAGCAAUGCCAUGUUAUGAGCCUUAAUGAUGUUAGGGUCUUUAAGGUCCCUGAAAGUGGCUACAUAA